rnacentral:lncRNA from 1 species
AGAGAGAAGCGAGGUUCUCGUUCUGAGGGACAGGCUUGAGAUCGGCUGAAGAGAGCGGGCCCAGGCUCUGUGAGGAGGCAAGGUUCUCAGGGGACAGGCUGACCAGGAUCACCAGGAAGCUCCAGAGGAUCCCCAGGAGGCCCUAGAGGAGCACCAAAGGAGAAGAUCUGCCAGUGGGUCUCCAUUGCCCAGCUCCUGCCCACACUCCUGCCUGUUGCGGUGACCAGAGUCGUCAUGUCUCUUGAGCAGAAGAGUCAGCACUGCAAGCCUGAGGAAGGCCUUGACACCCAAGAAGAGGCCCUGGGCCUGGUGGGUGUGCAGGCUGCCACUACUGAGGAGCAGGAGGCUGUGUCCUCCUCCUCUCCUCUGGUCCCAGGCACCCUGGGGGAGGUGCCUGCUGCUGGGUCACCAGGUCCUCUCAAGAGUCCUCAGGGAGCCUCCGCCAUCCCCACUGCCAUCGAUUUCACUCUAUGGAGGCAAUCCAUUAAGGGCUCCAGCAACCAAGAAGAGGAGGGGCCAAGCACCUCCCCUGACCCAGAGUCUGUGUUCCGAGCAGCACUCAGUAAGAAGGUGGCUGACUUGAUUCAUUUUCUGCUCCUCAAGUAUUAAGUCAAGGAGCCGGUCACAAAGGCAGAAAUGCUGGAGAGAGUCAUCAAAAAUUACAAGCGCUGCUUUCCUGUGAUCUUCGGCAAAGCCUCCGAGUCCUUGCAGCUGGUCUUUGGCAUUGACGUGAAGGAAGCGGACCCCACCAGCAACACCUACACCCUUGUCACCUGCCUGG